UACGUAGGGGGGCAAGCGUUGUCCGGAUUUAUUGGGCGUAAAGAGCGUGUAGGCGGCCAUGCAGGUCCGUUGUGAAAACUCGAGGCUCAACCUCGAGACGCCGGUGGAAACCGUAUGGCUAGAGUCCGGAAGAGGAGAGUGGAAUUCCUGGUGUAGCGGUGAAAUGCGCAGAUAUCAGGAAGAACACCCGUGGCGAAGGCGGCUCUCUGGGACGGUACUGACGCUGAGACGCGAAAGCGUGGGGAGCGAACAGG
rnacentral:rRNA from 1 species